UACGUAGGGUGCAAGCGUUGUCCGGAAUUAUUGGGCGUAAAGGGCUCGUAGGCGGUCCAUCGCGUCGGGAGUGAAAAGCUGGGGCUUAACCCCAGUCCUGCUUCCGAUACUGGUGGACUAGAGGUAGGUAGGGGAGAACGGAAUUCCUGGUGUAGCGGUGAAAUGCGCAGAUAUCAGGAGGAACACCGGUGGCGAAGGCGGUUCUCUGGGCCUUACCUGACGCUGAGGAGCGAAAGCAUGGGGAGCAAACAGG
rnacentral:rRNA from 1 species